GGAUGGUGGACGCUGUGAUACCUGCCAAGCACCUGACAGCAGAGGACCACUGUUCAAGACCAACAAAAGAAGAAUUUCGCCUUAUUGGAUUUCUUCACCGUGGAGGCAUGCAAGUCACUAGGUGUUUGUAGGAAAAGUGUCUGUGGCCAGCUGGCCCCAUUCCACCGUACGGACAACUUCCUCCUGAGCCUCCAUAAUCAC